UGUUUAUGGAUUCGACGGUGUCCUCGGGU
rnacentral:piRNA from 1 species